rnacentral:rRNA from 1 species
ACCCUUUAACGUUUGAUGUUCUAACCCGGGUCCAUAAUCUGGAUCGGGGACCGUGUCUGGUGGGUAGUUUGACUGGGGCGGUCUCCUCCCAAAGAGUAACGGAGGAGCACGAAGGUUGGCUAAGCAUGGUCGGACAUCAUGCGGUUAGUGCAAAGGCAUAAGCCAGCUUGACUGCGAGAGUGACGGCUCGAGCAGGUACGAAAGUAGGUCUUAGUGAUCCGGUGGUUCUGAAUGGAAGGGCCAUCGCUCAACGGAUAAAAGGUACUCCGGGGAUAACAGGCUGAUACCGCCCAAGAGUUCAUAUCGACGGCGGUGUUUGGCACCUCGAUGUCGGCUCAUCACAUCCUGGGGCUGAAGUAGGUCCCAAGGGUAUGGCUGUUCGCCAUUUAAAGUGGUACGCGAGCUGGGUUUAGAACGUCGUGAGACAGUUCGGUCCCUAUCUGCCGUGGGCGCUGGAAGAUUGAGAGGGGUUGCUCCUAGUACGAGAGGACCGGAGUGAACGCACCACUGGUGUACGGGUUGUGAUGCCAAUUGCAUUGCCCGGUAGCUAAGUGCGGAAGAGAUAACCGCUGAAAGCAUCUAAGCGGGAAACUUGCCUCGAGAUGAGUCUUCCCUGACCCUUUAAGGGUCCUGAAGGAACGUUUGAGACUAAGACGUUGAUAGGCUGGGUGUGUAAGCGCAGCGAUGCGUUGAGCUGACCAGUACUAAUGAACCGUGAG